ACUGAGCAAGAUGGCCACCUCCUGGUGGUAAGUCUCGCUCCUGGAGUUCCCAUCUUGACCCUACAGCGGGACAUUUUGCCGCCACCUCUUUGUGUGUUGGGAAGAUGACGUCCUUUCUGCUCGUCCUGCUUCUCUGAUUGAUCUGUGUCUCUGGAGAUCCCUUUGCUCAGCCAUCAGAUCAAGCAGGCAUCCAUGGUUCAGAAUGCAGGUGAUGACCUGGGCAAGAGCUCACCAGUAAGGAGCAAAGGGGCCCGCCUGCCACUCUUAAGCAGAGCGCCUGCUGAAUCAGGAUUUCCAAGGCUCCGGCUGAGUGCCUGGCUGGGGGCUGUGUGUGCAGAUGCCACAAGAUGGACAAGACUGAGGACGCAGAUGAGGAAACUGAAGCAACUGUUCAAGAAGAGGAUAUAAAAAGGGACAGGCAUUGAUGAUGAUAUCAGAGCUUCUUCCUGGGGAAUCUCAGCCUCACAUGAUGGAGUAUGACUAAAGGAAAAAAAUAAGGCUCUUCACAUACUUUCUUGGCAGUCUGUGAGGGUCAGGGUUGAUUUUGUGUCCCUAAAAUGUCACAUGAAGUUCAUAGGCACUUCCAAAGGGGCAGUCUAGCAAGUUAAAGAGUAGAUGUGGGGCUGUGUGGAGUCCAUUGUUUGGGUAAUCUUUUUCAAACAGUAGGAAUAUACCAGCUUGUAAAGAUUUGCCCACUUAGCUUCAAGUCUCUCUGAACACAUUUCCCCCCGCUCUAUGAAUAGAUGAAGACAUACAAAUGGAACUCUUGAUAUUCUUAAGUGAAAAACAUGAUAUGGAAUAGCAGAUAAAUACAAACAAUUUCUUAUCCAGCAAAGAGCUCCAGAAAUAUUUUGACUUCAUUUAAAACAGUUAUAUAAAUAUUUGCUGGUGGAAUUUUUUUCUAAACCAAAUACCCUGAAGGAUUUUAGUUGUCUAUCUACAACUUUUUGCUUGUGGAAAAUGUUGACUUCCUGGUUACUUUGACUUGUGUUCACCUGAAAUUUUGCUUUUGCAGUAGUUUUUCUUAUGAUUUAGUGGCAUUGCCUGUCCAGUGACAGGAAGUGGUGUUCUUAUUGGGACUAAUAUGUGUUAUGGCCCUAGAACCAGCAGAAGCCACUCCUGCUUUUUUCCACACUCUUCUUUCUAUAGAAGAGAAGGGAAUGAGGAUCCCACAUGGCAUUCACUGCCUUGAGCAUACUGAGAUUUCUUUGCAAAAGGAGAAACAGCACCAGCAACUAAGCAUUUUAUCCCAUUUUAUUUUACUUCUUCUAUGAUUCUUUGCCACUUAGCAAUGCCAAUUAAUUGAUUUGGGACUGGAAAUACAUUUCUUAUACAAUCUUCAAGUUUUCUUUCAUAAGAACAUAACUUUCAUCUGAUAUUGUUCCCCACUUCUCUCUUUUCAAAUGUAAUAUUUGGGCCAGUCCUUGAAAGUGAACUGAGUUGAGUUCUCAUGGCCCAUAAAAGAACAUAUUCAAAAUGUAUCAUUUUCUUUAUGUCACAGAUAAAAGAUCAUUAAUUGUAUAUAAAAUUUCCAUAUAAUUUUUAAAAUUUUUAUUUUGCAAUAAUUUAUUUUAGAUUUACAUUAAAGUUGCAAGGAAGGUACAAA
ensembl:lncRNA LINC02105 long intergenic non-protein coding RNA 2105